ACCCGUCAAUUCAUUUGAGUUUUAAUCUUGCGACCGUACUCCCCAGGCGGGGUGCUUAACGCGUUGGCUUCGCCACACCUAAGGGUCAACACCCGAUAUGGCUAGCACCCAUCGUUUACGGCGUGGACUACCAGGGUAUCUAAUCCUGUUUGCUCCCCACGCUUUCGCGUCUCAGUGUCAGUAAUUGGCCAGGUCGCCGCCUUCGCCACUGGUGUUCCUCCCGAUAUCUACGAAUUUCACCUCUACACCGGGAAUUCCGCGACCCCCUCCAACACUCGAGCUAUGCAGUUUCCAAUGCAGUUCCACGGUUGAGCCGUGGGCUUUCACACCAGACUUGCUUAGCCACCUACACGCCCUUUACGCCCAAUAAUUCCGAACAACGCUUGCACCCUCCGUAUUA
rnacentral:misc_RNA from 1 species